rnacentral:rRNA from 1 species
AUUGAACGCUGGCGGCGUGCCUUACACAUGCAAGUCGAACGGUAACAGGUCUUCGGAUGCUGACGAGUGGCGAACGGGUGAGUAAUACAUCGGAACGUGCCCAGUCGUGGGGGAUAACGAAGCGAAAGCUUUGCUAAUACCGCAUACGAUCUACGGAUGAAGGCGGGGGAUCGCAAGACCUCGCGCGAUCCGAGCGGCCGAUGGCGGAUUAGGUCGUUGGUGGGGUAAAGGCUUACCAAGCCUACGAUCUGUAGCUGGUCUGAGAGGACGACCAGCCACACUGGGACUGAGACACGGCCCAGACUCCUACGGGAGGCAGCAGUGGGGAAUUUUGGACAAUGGGCGCAAGCCUGAUCCAGCAAUGCCGCGUGCAGGAUGAAGGCCUUCGGGUUGUAAACUGCUUUUGUACGGAACGAAAAGCUCUGGGUUAAUACCCUGGGGUCAUGACGGUACCGUAAGAAUAAGCACCGGCUAACUACGUGCCAGCCGCCGCAGUAA